CAAGCAAAGGGCAUAAUGCAGCCAUCUAAACUCACUGGACAGAUGAGUAACCAAGUGGCAAAAAGUUAAGAGACAUACUACUCCCUUGUGAGAAUAAGAACAGACUUGGUAUGAUAUAUAGGUUUAACACAACUAGGUAACUCAGACCUGAUCAACCUCUUUUUUCACCAAUAUACACAAGUCAGUAACCCGUAGUUUUUUACAUCCCCAAUGAACAAAAAAUUUAGAUAACACUAAAGCACAAAGACAGCAACGUAAUCCAGAGCAGUGCAGGAAAUUUUUUUGAGGUCCAUACAUCAGUGCAUUUGGCAGCAGUUUUCAUCUGCAAAAAAAGACACUAGAGGAGGUGUCGCUAACCUGUACAAUGUAAAGAGUUUGUAUAUUCUCUUCCAAAAGAACCUAUAACUUAGGAAUGUUUUUCACACUACUCCUAACACGACAAUUUUCGCCUAGUCUUGAAGGUGGUCAUAGUCCCCAUUUUCUGGAGACUGGUGCAUGCCCUGACCGGUGCUAACCCUCCAUUCAGUUUGAUGUAAAGGCGUUGCUACUCCUAACACGACAAUUUUUGCCUACUCUUGAAGGUGGUCAUAGUCCCCAUUUUCUGGAGACUGGUGCAUGCCCUGACCGGUGCUAACCCUCCAUUCAGUUUGAUGUAAAGGCGCUGGUUGCAUGCCGCGAGACUGUAUCAUAAAUUGACCUCCGCCCAUAUUUUGAUGAGA
rnacentral:lncRNA from 1 species